GCUGAAUCUGAUGGCUAGGAGGUGACUCAGACACUCAUUAACCCUCACACACAGAGCUUCCAGGAAGCCCGGCGGCAGGAAAGGCACAGCACUGGAGCACUCACAGGCCACCCUGCAGCAGAAGGGAUGCGGUGAGGAGGGGCAAAAUAAUGAAUGCUGAGCCACAGAACCAGCCCUGUCCUGGGGAAGACAUGUCAGUUCUCCGUCCUCGCCAUUGGUUAAGAGCAGCUUGGCACCCUUCCCCUAAGUCAGCCAUCACCACAUCAGAACUGGCCUGGAAGAAGAGAGAAGAAAAUCAGCCGGGGAAAGAAAGGCCUUCGAGAGUGUGUGGAUCAGUGUGA
rnacentral:lncRNA from 1 species